rnacentral:rRNA from 1 species
GAUGAACGCUGGCGGCGUGCCUAAUACAUGCAAGUCGAGCGAACGGACGAGAAGCUUGCUUCUCUGAUGUUAGCGGCGGACGGGUGAGUAACACGUGGAUAACCUACCUAUAAUACUGGGAUAACUUCGGGAAACCGGAGCUAAUACCGGAUAAUAUUUUGAACCGCAUGGUUCAAAAGUGAAAGACGGUCUUGCUGUCACUUAUAGAUGGAUCCGCGCUGCAUUAGCUAGUUGGUAAGGUAACGGCUUACCAAGGCAACGAUGCAUAGCCGACCUGAGAGGGUGAUCGGCCACACUGGAACUGAGACACGGUCCAGACCCCUACGGGAGGCAGCAGUAGGGAAUUUUCGGCAAUGGGCGAAAGCCUGACGGAGCAACGCCGCGUGAGUGAUGAAGGUCUUCGGAUCGUAAAACUCUGUUAUUAGGGAAGAACAUAUGUGUAAGUAACUGUGCACAUCUUGACGGUACCUAAUCAGAAAGCCACGGCUAACUACGUG